UCGGACUGGACCCGCUCCCUGCACUUCUUCAUGUCGCGACCUCCCUUCUUCGGGUCAGUUACAGCAAAAACACAGUGCGCGCUGUUUAUUGAUCACACCAGUCAAACCAAAGAUAACUAGGAUAAUGAAGACUGCCCAGUCUAGAAUAGCUCGUUGCUAGAAUACCUGCAUUACAGAAACCAGCUAAUGGAGAACAUCUAUUUCUUGGAACUGGAAAGCAAACACUGGCUCUGCAAUACUGGAACAGAUCGCCGUGACAGACAGGUGAGUACGGCUCAUCCAACUCAGCAGAAACCUAAGUUUGCUCAUAGCCUGUACAGAGAGAUCCCAUUAAAGUAUGGCAACAUAGGUACCGUAUCCCCUGUACUCAGCACAAUUCAGCAGGAACAGCCCACUAAGUCAGUGGGAUGUGGGCAGCCCUUUAUAAUACUGAUCAAGCUCCAAUCCUUUCUGUACAAUGUAAGGAGAAAAGCCCAGAAGCAGGAAGCCCAUGGAUUAUCAGUAAAUUCUGAGUAGCAAGCUGUUGUUGCACUACAGUUCCCAAACAAUUGAGUAAUAGUUCCAGCACAGAGACCAAUCCCAGGGUCCAGAAUCACUUUCCUUUCUAGGAAAUCUGUGAUCGUCUCUGUUCCAGUCUCCAUCUCCAGACCCCUCCGCUACAUAGCUCUGUAAGUAUUUUCAGCGGGGGACAAUGCCUUGUCCUUGGAAUGGGGUCACGCUCUAGCAAUUAUUCCCUCUUGCACCCUCUCCCUCUCUGUGAAGUGACUACGGAGAAAAAAUAGCAAAAUAACCUUCGUCCCAUGUACAUUUUUGUCAGACGAUUAUGUUUUCCAAAGUCAUGAGCACAAACGGUUCCUGGGUAUUGAACUGCCCUGGGAAAUAGGGGAGGCGAGAGCUGCAAAUCAGGACUAGGGGUAGGCAGAAGAAUCUUGAACAAGUACCUGCCCAGCACCCCCACAUUGUUGCG